GCGGUGGAAUGCGCAGAUAUCAGGAGGAACACCGAUGGCGAAGGCAGAUCUCUGGGCCGUAACUGACGCUGAGGAGCGAAAGGGUGGGGAGCAAACAGGCUUAGAUACCCUGGUAGUCCACCCCGUAAACGUUGGGAACUAGUUGUGGGGUCCAUUCCACGGAUUCCGUGACGCCGCUAACGCAUUAAGUUUCCCGCCUGGGGAGUACGGCCGCAAGGCUAAAACUCAAAGGAAUUGACGGGGACCCGCACAAGCGGCGGAGCAUGCGGAUUAAUUCGAUGCAACGCGAAGAACCUUACCAAGGCUUGACAUAUACGAGAACGGGCCAGAAAUGGUCAACUCUUUGGACACUCGUAAACAGGUGGUGCAUGGUUGUCGUCAGCUCGUGUCGUGAGAUGUUGGGUUAAGUCCCGCAACGAGCGCAACCCUCGUUCUAUGUUGCCAGCACGUAAUGGUGGGAACUCAUGGGAUACUGCCGCGGUCAACUCGGAGGAAGGUGGGGAUGACGUCAAAUCAUCAUGCCCCUUAUGUCUUGGGCUUCACGCAUGCUACAAUGGCCGGUACAAUGGGCUGCAAUACCAUGAGGUGGAGCGAAUCACAAAAAGCCGGUCCCAGUUCGGAUUGAGGUCUGCAACUCGACCUCAUGAAGUCGGAGUCGCUAGUAAUCGCAGAUCAGCAACGCUGCGGUGAAUACGUUCCCGGGUCUUGUACACACCGCCCGUCAAGUCAUGAAAGUCGGUAACACCUCAAACGGU
rnacentral:rRNA from 1 species